AUUAACCAGGUAACUAAAUACACAUGGUUAAAUAAAAAGUCUAAUGGAAGAAUUUUUUUUUCCAGGGAAUUUUCUCAGUGUCGAAUCCACAUCCAGAAAUUUUUCUAGUUGCGCGAAUUGAAAAGGUGUUACAGGGAAACAUUACACACUGUGCAGAACCCUACAUCAAAAAUUCAGACCCUGUGAAGACAGCCCAGAAGGUACACAGGACAGCUAAGCAAGUAUGUAGCCGGCUUGGACAAUACAGAAUGCCCUUUGCUUGGGCUGCCAGACCCAUUUUCAAAGACACUCAAGGCUCUCUGGAUCUGGAAGGGAAAUUUUCUCCUUUGUAUAAACAAGACAGUAGCAAACUUUCUAAUGAAGAUCUUCUCAAGUUGCUCUCAGAAUACAAGAAGCCAGAGAAGACCAAAUUGCAGAUUAUUCCUGGGCAGCUAAACAUCACGGUAGAAUGUAUUCCCAUGGAUUUAUCAAGUAAGAACUCACAUUUUGCAAAUAAACCUUA